rnacentral:rRNA from 1 species
AUAUCGGAACGUACCAUUCAGUGGGGGAUAACGUAGCGAAAGUUACGCUAAUACCGCAUAUUCUGUGAGCAGGAAAGCAGGGGAUCGCAAGACCUUGCGCUGAUUGAGCGGCCGAUAUCAGAUUAGCUUGUUGGUGAGGUAAAAGCUCACCAAGGCGACGAUCUGUAGCGGGUCUGAGAGGAUGAUCCGCCACACUGGAACUGAGACACGGUCCAGACUCCUACGGGAGGCAGCAGUGGGGAAUUUUGGACAUGGGGGCAACCCUGAUCCAGCCAUGCCGCGUGAGUGAAGAAGGCCUUCGGGUUGUAAAGCUCUUUCAGCCGGGAAGAAAACGCAUGGGUUAAUACCCUGUGUGGAUGACGGUACCGGAAUAAGAAGCACCGGCUAACUACGUGCCAGCAGCCGCGGUAAUACGUAGGGUGCGAGCGUUAAUCGGAAUUACUGGGCGUAAAGCGUGCGCAGGCGGUUUUGUAAGACAGGCGUGAAAUCCCCGGGCUUAACCUGGGAACUGCGUUUGUGACUGCAAGGCUAGAGUACGGCAGAGGGGGGGUGGAAUUCCACGUGUAGCAGUGAAAUGCGUAGAGAUGUGGAGGAACACCAAUGGCGAAGGCAGCCCCCUGGGUCGAUACUGACGCUCAUGCACGAAAGCGUGGGUAGCAAACAGGAUUAGAUACCCUGGUAGUCCACGCCCUAAACGAUGUCAACUAGGUGUUGGGAGGGUAAAACCUUUUAGUACCGGAGCUAACGCGUGAAGUUGACCGCCUGGGGAGUACGGCCGCAAGGUUAAAACUCAAAGGAAUUGACGGGGACCCGCACAAGCGGUGGAUGAUGUGGAUUAAUUCGAUGCAACGCGAAAAACCUUACCUACCCUUGACAUGCCAAGAACUUUCCAGAGAUGGAUUGGUGCCCGAAAGGGAACUUGGACACAGGUGCUGCAUGGCUGUCGUCAGCUCGUGUCGUGAGAUGUUGGGUUAAGUCCCGCAACGAGCGCAACCCUUGUCGUUAAUUGCCAUCACUUAGUUGGGCACUUUAACGAGACUGCCGGUGACAAACCGGAGGAAGGUGGGGAUGACGUCAAGUCCUCAUGGCCCUUAUGGGUAGGGCUUCACACGUCAUACAAUGGGCGGUACAAAGGGUCGCCAAGCCGCGAGGUGGAGCCAAUCCCAGAAAGCCGAUCGUAGUCCGGAUCGCAGUCUGCAACUCGACUGCGUGAAGUCGGAAUCGCUAGUAAUCGUGGAUCAGAAUGUCACGGUGAAUACGUUCCCGGGUCUUGUACACACCGCCCGUCACACCAUGGGAGCGGGUUCCGCCAGAAGUAGGUAGCCUAACCGCAAGGAGGGCGCUUACCACGGCGGGGUUCGUGACUGGGGUGAAGUCGUAACAAGGUA